rnacentral:SRP_RNA from 1 species
CCGCGAGGGGGUUGCGGCGAACCUGGUCAGGACGGGAACGUAGCAGCCAUAAGACGGAGCUCCCUGUGCGAUGGUUUUUU